GAUGAACGCUGGCGGCGUGCCUAAUACAUGCAAGUCGAGCGAACAGACGCGGAGCUUGCUCCUCUGACGUUAGCGGCGGACGGGUGAGUAACACGUGGAUAACCUCCCUAUCAGACUGGGAUAACUUCGGGAAACCGGCGCUAAUACCGGAUAAUAUAUUGAACCGCAUGGUUCAAUAGUGAAAGACGGUUUUGCUGUCACUUAUAGAUGGAUCCGCGCCGCAAUAGCUAGUUGGUAAGGUAACGGCUUACCAAGGCAACGAUGCGUAGCCGACCUGAGAGGGGGAUAGCCCACACUGGAACUGAGACACGGUCCAGACUCCUAAGGGAGGCAGCAGUAGGGAAUCUUACGCAAUGGGCGAAAGCUUGACGGAGCAACGCCGCGUGAGUGAUGAAGGUGUUCGGAUCGUAAAACUCUGUUAUUAGGGAAGAACAAAUGUGUAAGGAACUAUGCACGUCUUGACGGUACCGAAUCAGAAAGCCACGGCUAACUACGUG
rnacentral:rRNA from 1 species